GGCUGGGUGGCUCAGUGGUUAAGAGCACUGGCUUUUUAUUCCAGAGAACCUGGGUUCGAUUCCCAGUGCCCACAACCA